rnacentral:rRNA from 1 species
GACGAACGCUGGCGGCGUGCUUAACACAUGCAAGUCGAACGUAGUGGCGAACGGGUGAGUAACACGUGAGCAACCUACCUUACACAGGGGGAUAGCCGUUGGAAACGACGCUUAAUACCGCAUGGUGUAAGAAGGGGUCGCGUCUGAUUCGCUAGCUGGAAGGGUAAAGGCCUACCAAGGCGACGAGCAGUAGCCGGUAGGUUAGGAUGAACGGCCACAGUAGAAGUGAGACACGGUCCAAACUCCAACGGGAGGCAGAAGUGGGGAAUAUGGAACAAUGGGGGGAAGCCUAAGGCAGCGACGCCGCGUGGGCGAAGAAGGUUUUAGAAGCGUAAAGCUCGGUCCUAUGAGAAGCGGUAUCAUAGGAGAAAGCCCCGGCUAAAUACGUGCCAGCCGCCGCGGUAAUUC